rnacentral:rRNA from 1 species
AUUGAACGCUGGCGGCAUGCUUUACACAUGCAAGUCGAACGGUAACGGGUUAAGCUGACGAGUGGCGAACGGGUGAGUAAUGCAUCGGAACGUGCCCGGUCGUGGGGGAUAACGCAGCGAAAGCUGCGCUAAUACCGCAUACGAUCUGAGGAUGAAAGCGGGGGACCGUAAGGCCUCGCGCGAUCGGAGCGGCCGAUGUCAGAUUAGGCAGUUGGUGGGGUAAAGGCUCACCAAGCCAACGAUCUGUAGCUGGUCUGAGAGGACGACCAGCCACACUGGGACUGAGACACGGCCCAGACUCCUACGGGAGGCAGCAGUGGGGAAUUUUGGACAAUGGGCGAAAGCCUGAUCCAGCAAUGCCGCGUGCAGGAAGAAGGCCUUCGGGUUGUAAACUGCUUUUGUACGGAGCGAAAAGGUCUCCUCUAAUACAGGGGGCUCAUGACGGUACCGUAAGAAUAAGCACCGGCUAACUACGUGCCAGCCGCCGCAGUAA